rnacentral:rRNA from 1 species
AUUCCAGCUCCAAUAGCGUAUAUUAAAGUUGUUGCAGUUAAAAAGCUCGUAGUUGGAUCUCAGGGUGAGCUCAGUUGGUCGGCCUAAUUGGUCAGAACUGGCUGACUCUCCCUUGUUUCUGAAUCCCGGUCGGAGUUAAUUCUUCGUUCGUGGACUUCAGAUCGUUUACCUUGAAAAAAUUAGAGUGUUCAAAGCGGGCGUUUGCUUGAAUACAUUAGCAUGGAAUAAUGGAAUAGGACCCUGGUUCUAUUUUGUUGGUUUUGAGAUCAGAGUAAUGAUUAAUAGGGAUAGUUGGGGGCAUUCAUAUUUAAUUGUCAGAGGUGAAAUUCUUGGAUUUAUGAAAGAUGAACUUCUGCGAAAGCAUUUGCCAAGGAUGUUUUCAUCA